rnacentral:rRNA from 1 species
UACGGAGGGUGCAAGCGUUAAUCGGAAUCACUGGGCGUAAAGCGCGCGUAGGCGGCUUGUUAAGUCGGAUGUGAAAUCCCCGGGCUCAACCUGGGAAUGGCAUUCGAUACUGGCAAGCUAGAGUUUGGCAGAGGGUGGCGGAAUUCCAGGUGUAGCGGUGAAAUGCGUAGAUAUCUGGAAGAACACCAGUGGCGAAGGCGGCCACCUGGGUCAAAACUGACGCUGAGGUGCGAAAGCGUGGGGAGCAAACAGG